rnacentral:sRNA from 1 species
CUUUGCGUUAACGCGGGAUUAACUUCUUGGGGCUAAUUUCGGAACUGUCCAGUUUCUGGACUUUGCAGAGCGGUUUCUCCCUCUGUUUGACGCCUCCCUGUUAACUCUCGAGAGCCGCCAGUUCGACGGCUCUUUUUCU